rnacentral:rRNA from 1 species
UACGGAGGGUGCAAACGUUGCUCGGAAUUAUUGGGCGUAAAGCGCAUGUAGGCGGACUUUCAAGUCGGGUGUGAAAUCCCUCAGCUUAACUGAGGACGUGCAUUCGAAACUGUUAGUCUUGAAUAUGGAAGAGGGUCGCGGAAUUCCCGGUGUAAAGGUGAAAUUCGUAGAUAUCGGGAGGAACACCAGUGGCGAAGGCGGCGACCUGGUCCAAUAUUGACGCUGAGAUGCGAAAGCGUGGGGAGCAAACAGG